rnacentral:lncRNA from 1 species
UAUAACUUCAUUUCAGUAUUUACAUGAUAAAUAAGUUUAGCAUUUAUUAUAUGCUUUUCAUUUGUGUUUUGUUUAUGAACUAUGUUUGUUCCUCAUGUAUUAUAUUACUGUUCUGGAUAUAUUCAUGACAAACUUUUUUGUCAGAUGUGUCAUUUAUAUUAGCUCAUUUAUAUUUUGUUCCUUCCUACUGGUUUCUGACUCACAUUUUUCUGAUAGAAAGUCAGCAAUAAUGAAGCAAUUUAGCUCCAAUCACCUGUAUGUAACAUACCUGGUUACUCUAUGCUCUGUUUAUCAUGAAAUUUCAUCAAGUUAAUUAUGAUAUCCGUUAUGGUUUGGAUAUUAGGUAGCUCCUGUGUUAAUGCUUGAAUACUCAGAGGUAAAGUGAUUAGAUUAUGAAAGCCAUAAGCUAAUUUGAUGGAGGAAGUUAGGUCACUGGGUCAUCCCUUGGGGAUUAGAUCUUGUCACCCUAGCUCCUACCUUUUUCUUUUUCUGUUUUCUGGCCACCAUGAGAUGUGCAACUUUUUCAUCUUGGGCCCAGAGCAAUGGGAUCUGCAAACCAUGAACUGAACCUCUGAAACUGUGACCCCAAACAAUCUUUUGCUUCUCUAAAUUGUUCUUGUCAGCUAUUUUGGUCACAGCAACAAAAAGCUGACUAACACAGAAAUUGCUACCAAUAAGUGAGGUCUUUUCUGUGAUUAACCUAGUCGUGUGGUUUAGAAGCCUUUGAACUGGUUUGAGAAGAGUUUGAAAAAGUUUGUAGAUGCAGACUGAAGAAAUCUCACAAGGUUGUAAGCAGAACUUAAUGGGCCAUUCUGGGUGGAGCUUAGAAGAGCAGAGUGCUGAUAGGAAUCCAGACAGUAAAAUCUGUUCUAUUGAGGUUUAAGAGGGGAGUGAGAAUACGACUAGGAAUUGAACUAGAUGCCAUUCUGUUACAUUUUAGCAAAGCACUUGUCUACAUUUUUCUUGUCCAUGUCCUGAAAUGUUGUGUGAGGCCAAAUUUAAAGAUUACAGACUAAUGAAUCUGGUGGAGGAAAUUUCAAGGAAGAACAGCAUUGAGGAGGUGACAUGGAUAUAGCUGGCAGUUUUUAACCAGGUUUACUUUGAGAAUCAGGAGCAAAAGGGAUUUUUAAAACUUUCAAUUUGGCCAGAAAAGUGCACCUUAAAACUGGAGUCAACGAAGUUCUGGUUGGUGAAGAGAUCACAGCUACUAGAGAUAUACUAGGUGCCUUGAGCACAUUUGAAGAAUUUGCAAAAUCCCACCCACCACAGGCUCAAGGGUGUAAAAGAAAAAUUCCCUUGAAAAGAGACCAGUGGGACCCAGGAAGUUGUUUCACCAUCUGAGUCACCCAGACACUCAGAGGCUGCUGCAGCUAUGGUUCCAGAAGGCUGGCUACUACUCAAGAUGGUGGCAGGUCUUGGCAUUGUUCACAUGGUGCUGGUUCUGCAGAAAUGCAGGAUGUUGGAGUUAGAAGUUCAUGAAGGCUUUCGCUGAGAUCUCAAGGGAUGACCUGGGAGCAGUCCAAGGUAGCAGCACUGAAAUUUCUGAAGGCUUCCCCUUAGAGGACAAUACCUGAAGCUGUAAAGGUGAAGCCAAAGUUGAAAUGGAGACCCCCAGAAUUAAGAGACUCCAGUAACAUGGACUUGUCUUCUGAGGAAAACAACAGCCUGUGGAGAAAGCCAAGUUAAGAGAAGCCAUAAGCUCUUUAAAGAGCAAAGCCAAAGAAAUGGGGCUCCCCAAGUCCUUCAGAGCUCGCAUCUCACCGAUGUGUGCCCAGAUGCUGUUUGUGGGGUUACAGGACCUAAUGUUUUUCCAUCUGGAUUUCAGUCUGGCUUUGGUCCCAUCCUAUCUUUCUUUGUCCCUACUCCUCCCUUUUUGAAUUGAAAUAUAUAAACCUUGCCAUUUUAUAUUGGAGAUAUAUAUAUAUAUAUAUAUAUAUAUAUAUAUAUAUAUAUAUAUAUAUAUAUAUAUAUAUAUAUAUUGUAUUCCAUUUUCACAGGAGCUCACAACCCAGAGUGGAUGUCUCUGGGUUGAGUCUCAAAGGAGACUUUGGACUUGGUCUUUUGGGCAAUGCUGUAACUAUUAAGAUUAUAGGGACUCUGGGAAAGGGAAAUAAAUGCAUUUUCAUUGUGAGAUGAGCAUGAACUUUUGGGGACUGAGGUGUAAUGUUAUGUUUUGGAAAUGAGAUUUUCCCCCCAAACUACUAUGUUAUUACAGGAAUAUUCAGAGGUAAAAUGAUUGGAUCAUGAUGGCCAUAAUCUAAUCAGCAAGUUGAUUCCUUUGAUGUAUUAAUAAUUUGAAUAGACUAAGUGGGUGGUAACUGUAGGCAGGUGGGAAGUGACUAGAGGAAGGUCACUGGGACAUGCCUUUGGGGAUUGUAUCUUGUCCCUUGUCUCCUCCUCUCUCACAGAAGCUUUCUAGCUCCCAUGAGGGGAGUAGUUUUCUUCUGCUUUACCCUUCUACCAUGAUGUUCUGUCUCAUCUUGGGCCCAGAGCAGUGGAAUCAGCAACUAUGGACUGAACCUCUGAAUCCAUGAACCAAAACUUUGCUACUCUAAGUUGUUCUUGUUGGGUAUUUUGGUCACAGUGACAAAAAGCCACCUAACACAAUGUCCCUCGGUGUGAUCUUGUAUGUCCUCUUCUUGUUUGGGACUUGUUGAACUUGAAUUUGUGAUACUAUGCAUAUAUUUUUUUAAUUUUUUAUUUGUUUUUAUUUGUUAUGCAUGAUAGUAGAAUGCACUAUCAUAUUACUAUUAUAUUACAUACAUGGAAUAUAACUACCCAUUCUCAUGGUUGUACAUGGUGUAGAAUUAUACUGGUCAUGUGUUCACAUAUGAACAUUGGAAAGUAAUGUCCAAUUCAUUCUAUAGUCUUUCUUAGUCCCAUCCUUCCUCCCUUCCCUUCAUUCCCAUUUGUCUGAUCCAAUAAAUUUCUAUUCUCUGCCCUCCCACCCCAAUGUGUGUUAGCAUCCACACAUCAGAGAGAACAUUCAGCCUUUGGUUUGGGGGAUUGGCUUAUUUUGCUUAGGAAUGAUAGUCUCCAAUUUCAUUCAUUUACCACAAAUGCCAUAAUUUUAUUUUUCUUUAUGGCCAAGUGAUAUUCCAUUGUGUAUAUAUUCCACAUUUUUUUUUCUACCCAUUCAUCUGCUGCAGGGCACCUAGGUUGGUUCCAUAGCUUAGCUAUUGUAAAUUGAGCUGCUAUAAAAAUUGAUGUGGCUGUAGUAUGCAUAUUUUUUUAACAAAUAUGAAAAAUGUGUGCUGCUCAUUUUCUUUGAAUAAUAUUUAACCCUCCUUCUUCCUCCUCUUUUUCUGAUAAUUAUAGAUACUUUUAAGUUAUAUUGCUUAAUAUUACCCCAAAGACCAUAGAGGUUCUGCUCACGAUUUUAAUUUUUUUUUCUCCUUUUGCUUCAAUUUUGAUAGUUUUUAUUGUCAUGUUUUGAGGUUUAUUUCUAUUGUCUUGUAUUGGUCUUUCAGUAUCAAAUCUAUUGUAAUAUUUAUCCAGGGAAUUCUUCAUUCUGGUAAGACUUUUAGCUCUAAAUUGUUACAGUGUUUGGUUUCCACUUGCUUCUUCAUUUUACAUGUUUUUCUUUAACUCUUUGAAUAAAUUAACAAUGUUCGUUUUAAAGUGUUGUCUGAUAAUUCUAUCUAAUCUGCCACUUCUGUAUCUUUUCUAUUGGUUCAUGCUUUUCUUCUAAUAAAAACAUUAUUUUUCUGAUUCAUUACAUGGACAGUAGCUUUUGGUUUCAAGAAGUGAGCAGGUUUAACAAUGAAAAUCUAUUUUAAUAAAAAUUUAAUUAAUUUUUAAGAGUGUAC